UGGGGAAUUUGGUCAAUGGGGGAAACCCUGAUCCAGCCAUCCCGCGUGUGCGAUGAAGGCCUUCGGGGUGUAAAGCACUUUUGGCAGGAAAGAAACGUCAUGGGUUAAUACCCCGUGAAACUGACGGUACCUGCAGAAUAAGCACCGGCUCACUACGUUCCAGCAGCCGCGGUAAUACGUAGGGUGCAAGCGUUAAUCGGAAUUACUGGGCGUAAAGCGUGCGCAGGCGGUUCGGAAAGAAAGAUGUGAAAUCCCAGAGCUCAACUUUGGAACUGCAUUUUUAACUACCGGGCUAGAGUGUGUCAGAGGGAGGUGGAAUUCCGCGUGUAGCAGUGAAAUGCGUAGAUAUGCGGAGGAACACCGAUGGCGAAGGCAGCCUCCUGGGAUAACACUGACGCUCAUGCACGAAAGCGUGGGGAGCAAACAGG
rnacentral:rRNA from 1 species